rnacentral:misc_RNA from 1 species
AAGUCGUAACAAGGUUUCCGCAGGUAUCCAACGUUAAACCCCCCUGUGAACUUUUAUACUUGCUCUCGUGGCUACCGGAAUCGCAAUCCCUGGUAAAUCAUUGAUGAACAGAUUUUGAUUCAGGGCCUCAGUUUGGUAGUUUCGAUCGAGCGGUUUCCCCAAGCAGCCAGUGUCUGAAAGUGUCUUUGAUUGUGUAAGACGCUUUUCGAUCACUAGAGGCCGACACCGGCCGGUGACCAGGUCGCCGUGGCUUCGGCCCCCCUAUAUUCACCCACUACCAACUUUCGCCUCGUAGGAAACUGCUGGGCAACAAAACGAACAACUGUUAACAAUGGAUAUCUUGGUUCUC